GUUGAAAUGCACGUUCAAAAAACCAACUUCAACUUGAAAUUUAUUCUUUAUGCUGCCAUUAUGAACAAAGAAAGGUCAAUAAAUGGAAGGAAAACAAAAAAAAACUUACCAAGGGGAUCAAAUUCGUUGGAUUUUUGAAGAAAUCGAUUAUUAUUUCUGUCAUUUUCCCUUCUUCGCAUUUCUAGAAACAAUGAUAGUUCCUCAUCUGAACUCCUAAUACUCCCCAUUAGAGGCUGUCUCUGCCUCUGCCCCGGGCCCAAUAAGAUGUUACUCCCUUUGUUUCAUUUUUUAUGAUCAACUCUUUUAAACACCUUAAAACAAGAAGAAAAGAAUUCUUAAAGAAAUCUAUAUAUAUAN
rnacentral:lncRNA from 1 species